AUGGGCGACGGAAAGGCUGCUGUGAUAGACAAUGUGGAAGGAAAAUUGAGGAAUCUGAAGCUCUCAGAUGCAAAAAAGAAAAGCAUCAAGAUUGGGAAGAAAUAUGCUUGUUCCCCUGAGGUGAGUAAGUUUCAGGUGGUGGGUAAACUUCUGUCUGAAAAACCGGUUAAAGCAGAGUAUUUGGGUAGAGCAUUGAGUGGUGCUUGGUGCCCCUUCUCAAGAGUAGAAUGCAAGGGCCUGGGUAAGAAUCGAUUCCUGUUUAGAUUCCAUGAUGAGGUGAGCAAGAACAAAGCACUAAAGAGCGGACCAUGGAUGUUUAACAAAGACUUACUGGUGAUGGAAGACUUUAUGCCAAGCAAAACUAUAGAUGAUUAUGAGUUUAAGUCAAUUCCUAUAUGGGUGAGAGCUUACAGCACACCAAUGGGAACGAUGAGCCUAGAAACAGGGGAGUUG
rnacentral:rRNA from 1 species